GAAAAUACACAAUUAUUUUCCACAAAAUAUGCUAACAUGGGUUUAUUAUCAUUUUAAAAGGAAUUAAAUAUUUAAACCUAACAGUUCUAGUCCAUAUGACAGUAAACACCAAUAGGUAUAACUCACACGGAUGAACCAAAGCUCUUCAAGGGCUUCAAAUUUUUUUUUUUUUUUCUCCUUUUAGGGCCAUGGGUGUGGCAUACGGAGGUUCCCAGGCUAGGGGUUGAAUCGGAGCUGCAGCUGCCGGCCUACACCACAGCCACAGCCACACCAGAUCCAAGCCAUGUAAAGUGACCUACACCACAGCUCACAGCAACACUGGACCCUUAACCCACUGGGUGAGGCCAGGGAUGGAACCUGAGUCCUCAUGGAUACUAGUUGGGAGCUACAACGGGAACUCUAGGGUCUUCAAUUCUUUUCCUUCUUUUUUGGAUGCACCUGCGGCAUGUGGAAGUUCCAGGGCCACAGCAGGGACAACGCUGGAUCCUUAACCCGCCAAGCCACAAGAGAACGCCCCAGCAUCUUCAAUUUUUAAAGAGUGUAGAUCACAGAGUUUGAAAAGAAUCACUUUUCUAGAACAGUGUCCAGCAGAACUUUCUGUGAUAAUGAUAAUGUUUAUUCUCUGCUGUCAAAUACCAUAGCCACCAGCCACACACGGCUACUGAACAUUUGAAAUGUAGUUAGUCCAACGGAGGAAUUGAAUUUUAAGUUUAAAUAGCACAUGCAGCUGGUGGCGUCUACACUAGACAGCACGGUUAGAAGGUCCUUGGGACUCCUUGACCUGAGCAUCUGUGGUCAAUACUUCUUCCCACAGUCUAGAGGUUGGGGGUAGGAAAGGACAGGACCUGACACUCCUGUCCCCAGGCUUUGGCCCCCACUAUUUCUCAGCCUCUCUUCACCGAAGCAAGGCCAUCUCAGUCAAAUGGCCAGUUCUGCGGGCGCCUUUACCAAGCCUUACUGUUAGAGUUGCUCUCUCAUUCUCUGCAAUGGCUAUUUCUCACCCUCUCCGUUCGCCUUAAACUUCUGGUCCUCGUUUCCCCAGAUUAAAACCAGCAGAGGGGAAACCCCUCAAGCCUCCCGCCACCAUCGUCCUGGUCCCACUGGAACCCCCCGUACCUCUCCCCCUCCUCCUGUUAUAGGAGAGGGGCUGCCCUCUUCCCGGGCAAGGCCGGUCCUUCCCACCCCAGACACUCCCCAUUUACGUCUUCAGGAUCUACCUCUCCACCUUCUCAAGUGUCUUUCAUCUUUAAAAAUAAUUUCCCGGAGUUCCCGUCGUGGCAGUGGUUAACGAAUCGGACUAGGAACCAUGAGGUUGAAGGUUCGGUCCCUGCCCUUGCUCGGUGGGUUAACGAUCCGGCGUUGCCGUGAGCUGUGGUGUAGGUUGCAGAUGCGGCUCGGAUCCCGCGUUGCUGUGGCUAAAGUGACGCAUACCCUUUGCUAGCAGCCUUUAAGAAUUCUCAAAAAAAAAAAAAAAAAAAAAAAAUUUCCCGUUGGAGUUCCCAUUGUGGCACAGUGGAAAUGAAUCCGACUAGGAACCAUGAGGUGGCGGGUUUGAUCCCUGGCCUCCCUCAGUGGGUUAAGGAUCUGGCGUUGCCGUUGAGCUGUGGCGCAGGUCAGUGACUAUGGUUCUGAGUCAACCCCUAGCCUGGGAACCUCCACAUGCCUUGCGCGAGGCCCUAAAAAGCAAAAAAAAAAAAAAAAAAAAAAAAAUUUCCCUUUGCUGUACAGCAGAAAUUGAUAGAAAGCUGUAUGUCAACUAUAAUAAAAAAAAUUAAAGAUUCGGAGAUAUUCCAGAUUCUCUUUUGCUUUCACAGCCAAUCUUCUCAAAAAAAAAAAAAAAAAAAAAAAAAAAAAAAGCCAUCCUCACUGCUCACUCCUUCCUCAACCCGGUCCAACUUCGGCAAUAACUGAAUCCAACACUAAAUCCAACAAUAUUUCCCAGUCCUCAUUGCCUUCUCAGGCACAAGUGCCUUUGAUGGCCAUUUCCUGCUGGACUGGUUUUGUUGUUUUGUUUCAUUUUGUUUUAGCUUUAGACAUAGUUGGACUGCCCCGCAACUCACCAAUUUAAAGGGUACAAUUCUGUGGUGUGUAGUGCAGUCACAGAUGAUGUGCCAUCGUGACUAGAGUCAAUUUUAGAACGCUUCCAUUACUCCUUAGUUAUCACCCUCACGCCCCAAACUAGGCAACCACUAAUUUGCUUACUAUCUCUAUAGAUGUCCCCAUUCUGGACAUUUCACAUGAAUGGAAUCACAUGAUAGGUGGUCUUGUGUGAUUGGCUUCUUUCACUCUGCAUAAUGUUUUCAAGGUUCAUCCCUGUUGAAGUAGGAAAAUGUAGUACCACGUAUAGUACUACAUUCCUUUUUAUGACCAAGUAAUAUUCCACCCUAUGGCUAUGGCACAAUUUGUUUAUCCAUUUCACUGAUGACAUUUGAGCCAUUUCCACUUUUUGGCUAUUAUGUAUAACGUUGCUCUAAGCACUGGUGUCCAAGUUUUGUGGGGAUAAAUGUUUUCAUUUCCGUGGGUAUGUAUCUAGGAGUGGGAUUGCUGGGUCCUUAGUAAUUUUUUUUUUUUUUGCCUGCACCUGUGGCAUGAACACACUCCUGGGCCAGGGAUUGAACCGAUGCUACAGCAGUGACCCAAGCCAUAGCAGUAACAAUGCUGGAUCCUUAACUGCUAGCCACCAGGGAACUUCAUGACUAUUUUCCUUUUAUAAUCAAUAAAUAAUUCGGAGGGGGCAACACUCGGUGACUAUGCAAAAUCCUGUUUCUGCUUAAAUUUUCACCCACUAAUUUUAAGGAUUCAUCAGCAAAUCUUGCUUGCAGCAAUUACUACGGUGCUCCAAUAAUAAGUUUUCAGUUUCCCUCAUUCUUUGUAAUUCAUUUUUAAACAUUUUUAUUAAAAUUGUUUCUAUUUUGAUUGUACCCAUGGCAAAUGGAAAUUCCUGGGCCAGGGAUCAAAUCCAAGCCAGAGCUGGGACCUGCAGCAAUUCUGGAUACUUAACCCACUGGGCUGGGUUGGGGAUUGAAUCUGCGCCUCCAUAGAGACAAGCCAGAUGGUUAACUCAUUGCACUGUGGCGGGAACUCCAGCUCCUUGUCAUUUAACUGGAAGUUUUCUGAGGAAAAGCUGUUUCUUCACUCCCAUUUAUUUACUUAUAUACAUAUUUGUAUUAGUAUGGACUCACAUGCAUUAUGUUCUUUGAAUUCUAAUUCGAUAUUGUCAUCACCACUUAUUUUGUUGCUUAAAUUCCAGCUUUGGCCCUUCUUUUAGGUUGGUUCCUAUGUCUUUUCAAUAUGCCUCUGUUUAAAAAAGUUAUUACUAUUACUUUUUAACAUGUGCUUAUUUUCUGGCGCCAGAAGAUGCUCCAGGCUUAUCUUGCAUUGUCCUGACAGCACAGUCUCUUUUCCAAGGAGCUUUAGCAGAGGAACCUUCUUUCUACAACUGUAAAUCUGAUUGCGUCUUUCCUGCUUCAAAUCUUCCCAUGAACUCCUACUGCUCUGGGAACAGAUGAAAGCUCUCGACAUGACCCUGGAAGCCCUGCUCUGGGCUGGUCCCAGAGCACGAUUCUUCUGAAAAGCUGUCCUGCAUUGACGAGGCCCACAUGGAUCUCGCUUAUUCAAGUCCCUCCUGCAGGAUCUGUGUUUCAAACUGUAAUGCAUCCUGUUCUCUUGUCCCCCUGUGCGAAGGGGGCACUUCCACGCUGUGAGAUGGGGAGCUCCCUGAGGGGCCCUGCAUAUGCUUCUGUUCCCCCCCACUCCCGCCACUUCCUACCAGGGCACAGCUCCUGCCAGCAAAGCCCUAACCUGGUGACCCUUUCAUUCCAGACCGAAAAAGACCAGAAAGAAGAACAGGUGAGAAUGUACAGUGGGCACAUCAGGUUCCCUUCAAGAUCCCCAAUUAUCCCCACCCCCACCCAAGUGGCUUGGAAGGCCCACAUGACAAGCCACCCUGGGAGGUGAACAAGGGCCAUUUUCGGAUAUGCCCCCAACAUUGAUGGGACCUUCUCCAAGCUCUCAACCCACUGCCAGGCCUCGGUGACACCCUCUGGGAAAGGGACUAACCUAUUCACGCCGCAGACACUCUGGACAGAUCACUCAGCAUGAGGGUACAAUGCUGGGUACUGGAGGACUAUUUAGAGAUGGGCCAGCUCUUCUCAGACUUCUUGGAGCUUUCAGGUGAGUAGGGGAUGAAAGACAUGGAGGUAAAGAGUUGUACUGUGAAGAAGUUUCCACGAGAGAAGACUUUGGAGAAUUUUAAAAAUCAGGAGAGAAGCUCCCAUUGUGGUACAGAUCACUCAGCAUGAGGCUGGAUUCGUUUCUGCUGUGCCAUGAUGGGAACUCCCAUAGCUUGAUAUUAUAUGAUUGUAAGUGAUUAUCUACAGAGGAAGAAGCAGGUAGAGAUGGGAGUGUGAUUUCUCAAUGUAUGUCUUUUUGUAUCAUUUUGAUCUCUGGACUAUGUAAAAAAAAAAAAAUCUAAUGAAAAAACAAAAGAACAUAAAACUUAAAAGAAAAUGUUAGAUGGAAAAACCACUUAAGCAGGUGAUUUCUAAAGCCCCUCCCACCUGGGGU
rnacentral:lncRNA from 1 species